rnacentral:lncRNA from 1 species
CAGGGCUCCCAUGAUGCCUCUGAGCUGUUUCCUGGGCAAUGUCUAUGCUGAGAGUGUAGAUGUUCUUCGAGAUGGAACUGGACCUGCAGGUUUACGACUUCGCCUACUUGCUGCAGGUUGUGGACCUGGCCUAUUAGCAGAUGCCAAGAUGCGGGUAUUUGAACGUUCAGUGUAUUUUGGUGAUUCCUGCCAAGAUGUUCUUAGCAUGCUUGGCUCUCCACACAAAGUCUUCUAUAAAUCAGAAGACAAGAUGAAAAUUCAUUCUCCUUCCCCUCAUAAACAAGUUCCAUCGAAGUGUAAUGACUACUUUUUUAACUACUUCACUCUUGGAGUGGUAAGUUGUGAUUCCUCAGAGAAGCCCUUCAUUUCUAUUGGGGUGGGCAGUGCAUCUUUGCAGAUCUGUGUGUCCACAUGCAGCUGGAACCAUGCCUGGACAUUGGGGAACCUAGCCCCAGCUGUCUUUGCCCAGGGUUGUUUUGCAUAGGCUCUGGUACUCCAAAGUAGACCUUGCCUGCAACCAGGAUUGCUCAGGAACACUAGGUUCCCUGGUACCUGUUGA